UUUGGACAUAUAUUUAUAAAAUAUGUCAAAUAUAAGCUUUUAAUAAAUAAUGUAACAUCUUUAUCCAACAUCUCACUGUAAUUCCAUGUUACUAUAGAAUUAAUAAAAAUAAUUAUUCAGAAUUAAUGUUCUUAAAGUAAGACUCAUAUGGAUCCGUGCCGUAUACUCUUGCACAGAUUAUACGUAUACAGAGCGAAUCUAAGAAGUCUUAAAGCUUAUUUUAUUAGAUUGUGUUUUCUGUGUGUAUUAAUUCUAUAAUCUUUCUUUUCACAAAAUAUAAAAAAAAAUUCAAAUAAACACAUAAGAAUUUUCACACUGACAAUUAACCCCGGUAAAGUUGCAUUACUUAAGAUCCACUCCCCAAAAACCUUCGAGAUAUCAGAUAAGGAGUGCCUCUCGCUUAGUUGGUCAGUUUCAGUGUCAGGAUAACCUUGUUAUGCAAUUUUCUUGCUGGGCAGAGUAUAGCUGUUUGCAGCUUAUCUAGGUCAAAAUUUGAAUUCAACUGAUGGACAAGAAGUGCGCGUUUCUUUCCUGUUCAUAUUUCAUGUGUUUUUGAAGCUAUAUACACAAGGAUUUAGGCUGGAAUAUCAACUUCUGCUCAUUCGCCGUAAGGUUCAAUCAACCAGUUAUGCAGGGAAUUGAUUGUAUAGUCAGCCUUGAUUGCAUCAGAUUCUUCUCCUGUUAAAAUUAUACAAAGGAAUGCAACAUUUUGCUUUUGCUUUAGAGGGUGGAUUCUCCUGUUCAUUUCUUUCAUUCGUGGGACUUAACUCUAUGCGUGAUUAAAAUCAAUGGAUCCGCCACUUUGUGGAACUUAGAAGUGUAAGGCAUACGCGUACUUCGAAGGACCUGGAUGUGAUUAUUGUGACCCACUUUUCCCAAGGAAUAUAAAUUUUGUCAAGCAGUGAUUUUUGAGAUUCAGUGAUUGAAUCCGAAUUUGUGUUUGUCUUAAAAAUACAUGUAAAAUUAAUUCUCUCACAAUCAUAAUACUUGAUUACAACUUAUAUAAAUAUUACGCAACUUGAAUAAAAUUUUUUAUUAGAAUUUGAAAUGUAUUUGUUUAUAAAGCAAAAUGUAAUAUGAAUUCAACGUGAUUUCAACCAAAUAUCAACGUUUGUACAUCCGAAAAAUUUCAACCAAAUCUCAACCUAAUUUCAACCAAUGUUCACUUUUGUUCAAUGUUGAUAUUUGACGUUGAAACAACGUUGAAGCUUCAACGUUGCCUCAACUUUCAUUUGCAACCAAAAAUCAACCAUAAAUCAACCAAAAAUUCAACCCAUUUUCAACGUUUAUUCAACGUUGAAAAUUGACGUUGAAACAACGUUAUGUCUCAACGUUGCCUCAACUUUCAUAUGCAACCAAAAUUCAACGUUGAUUCAACGUUGAAGUGCAACGUUGAAUCAACGUUGAAUCAACGUUGAAAUGCCUG